AUGGAAUUUUUAUUUUCUUUUAGCAAGCAAUCCUUGGGUUGGCAUCACAGGCUCAGUCUUUCGUAUAUCAAGCCAGCUGCGUUGACUGUAGAACCAGGGACGAGCUGUGAUCUCGUGCUUUCGUGCCCCAUGUUGGGCUCCAGGAAUCAUUGGUGGAAUUUAUCUGCCAGCUGGUGUUUCAGAGUCCUUUAUAAAUUAAUUAUAGUAUUUACCAGCCAUGUGGAGGUGAAGAAAUCUAAUUAG
rnacentral:lncRNA from 1 species